GACGAACGCUGGCGGCGUGCUUAACACAUGCAAGUCGAACGGUAAGGCCCUUCGGGGUACACGAGUGGCGAACGGGUGAGUAACACGUGGGUGAUCUGCCCUGCACUCUGGGAUAAGCCUGGGAAACUGGGUCUAAUACCGGAUAUGAGCUCCUGUCGCAUGGCGGGGGUUGGAAAGGUUUACUGGUGCAGGAUGGGCCCGCGGCCUAUCAGCUUGUUGGUGGGGUAAUGGCCUACCAAGGCGACGACGGGUAGCCGGCCUGAGAGGGCGACCGGCCACACUGGGACUGAGACACGGCCCAGACUCCUACGGGAGGCAGCAGUGGGGAAUAUUGCACAAUGGGCGAAAGCCUGAUGCAGCGACGCCGCGUGAGGGAUGACGGCCUUCGGGUUGUAAACCUCUUUCAGCAGGGACGAAGCGAGAGUGACGGUACCUGCAGAAGAAGCACCGGCCAACUACGUGCCAGCAGCCGCCGUAA
rnacentral:rRNA from 1 species